UUUCUAUUCUCAUAAUUAGCCCAAAGUGAAAAAGUCGAAAACCCUUUUAUCAACCUAACCCUAAUUAACUCAUAUAUCUCUUUCUAAUUCUCUGAAAAUAAGCCAGUCGGCCCCUUAUUCUCUCCCUCGAUCUUACCUUCCAUCACACCCCAAUGACGACGAGGACUUCACCACCUCACCCAAGCGACGACGAGGAUCUCACCUCAGUGAAAAGUGUGGCCACAGAUGAAGGGCAAAGGUUAACUAACAAUCGUGAGAUAAAGUUUUUGACGAGGACCUUUGACUCUCACUUUCAGUUGCUGUAUCAAUCCCUUAUCUCACAUUUUUUUGGAUGCAGGCUAGACUACGCACGAUGGCCUUGGAUAUGGUUCUCUUAUCAUUCACGAUCAUCAACUUUUACUACUUUUUCUUUCUCUAAAUUGAUUUGGGCAGGUUGGUUGUCUUAUAGUCUAAAUUAUUUGGGUCAAGGUGAGUUCUUGGAGCGAUGGUGGAGCGUUGUGUGUUGAAAUGAUAUUACAUGUUUGUUUGUUGAAGUUAAGUUUGUAAUCUCAAUUCUGCAUGUUGUUCUCCUCUUUAAUGCAAAGCUUAAAUAUUUUUCUAUUAUACUGAAGAAAUUAUAAUUUAUUUGUUUA